AAUGGUUUGGCAGAGUGGUCUAAGGCGCCAGAUUUAGGCUCUGGUUCAAACGGGUGUAGGUUCAAAUCCCACAGUCGUCA
rnacentral:tRNA from 1 species